UUUAUUGAUGAAAUAUAUUUGUGACUAUAUACUAUGCUUGUGUCGACGGCUAAUGAGUAUUUACAUAAUCUCAUUAUUCAAAUUAAAAAUACUAUGUAUAAGUUAACAUCCUUGAUAUCAAGUACUAUAUAAUUGAUACAAAUUAAAUUCCUAUUUAAUUAAAAAGGAUAUCGAUUAGUAGUAUAUAAUUAUAUACUACUAUUAUUACUUAUUAUAUAAAAUAUUAAAAAGCUCAAAAUAAAGCCUAAAUAGUAUACUCCAUAUUUAAUUAAACCCUAAUCUUCAAACCUACAGGAGGGGUGCCGCCGCCAUUUCCCUCUCUGUCUAUCUCUAUCUCUCUGCUCUCUUUGUCUCUUCUACGACCACCGCAUCCUCAUCCCUACUCGCCGCUCGCCAAGGCUCUCCACCGCCGUGCAUCCCUAAUUCUACCGCCCUACUUCCCGCCCGCCUGCUUCAGCUAUCCCACCAACCUCGGGCAGCCGCCGCUGCCGCCACACCGACAGUUCUCUCGGUCAGCCGCAGCCCGCUGCUUCACCAUUAUCUCAGAUCUCUCUCGGUAUCACGCCCCACCACAAUUGUUGCCGCCCCAGCAGCCACUGCAUUCGGCGUCUGGACUCGCCGCCGUCACCCUCUGUUCCUUCAUGCCGCGUCGCCCUUGUUCCCGAAACGGGUAGAUCGAAAGAUUCUACCUUUGUCGGUAGCCAGAGUGGCCGCCGGAUUCGGGCCAGAAUCGCCCCCAUGGAUGAAAUUUGUUGUUUGAAUUAGCAUUUAUGUAGAUUUGUUACAUAGAAAUAUGGCAAUGGUGUAAGUAUCUUGUUGGAGAAGACACACCUCAUGGCUCAUUGCACUUCUCAAGACAUCUCUUAAGAAAUAUUCUGCACAAGGAGCUCAAGAUGGCGUGUGAAAUGUUCUUAACACAGCCUGUUUUAAAUGACCAAAAGGUUAAAUAAAAUAGCUUCACAUUUUCCCUCCAAAAAGGAUAAAAUUGUCUUUUUAUCAAACUGUCACUUUAGAUUAGUAUAGAUUCUGUUUUUAUUUUAAUUUAUGUAAUUCCAAUUGUAAUAAAUUUGUUUCCAUAUAUUUUUUCUUCUCUAUUUAAGUUGUACAGAGUAUGUUAUAUACUAUUGCAUUUGACAA